rnacentral:rRNA from 1 species
GAUGAACGCUGGCGGCGUGCUUAACACAUGCAAGUCGAACGGGCCCAUUCUUCGGACUGGGUUAGUGGCAGACGGGUGCGUAACACGUAGGUGACCUGCCCUGAAGUGGGGAAUAAUCCCGCGAAAGCGGGACUAAUACCGCAUGUGCUCGGCGAUUCGGUUCGCCGAGUAAAGCUCGUAAGGGCGCUUCGGGAUGGGCCUGCGGCGGAUUAGGUAGUUGGUGGGGUAAUGGCCUACCAAGCCGAUGAUCCGUAGGGGGCGUGAGAGCGUGACCCCCCACACUGGCACUGAGAUACGGGCCAGACUCCUACGGGAGGCAG